rnacentral:tRNA from 1 species
UAGCCUAGUCGUUAAGGCUUUGGAUUGCCAAUCCGGAAACGCCGGGUUCGAUUCCCGU